UUUUAUGGAGAGUUUGAUCCUGGCUCAGGAUGAACGCUGGCGGCGUGCCUAAUACAUGCAAGUCGAGCGAACGGACGAGAAGCUUGCUUCUCUGAUGUUAGCGGCGGACGGGUGAGUAACACGUGGAUAACCUACCUAUAAGACUGGGAUAACUUCGGGAAACCGGAGCUAAUACCGGAUAAUAUUUUGAACCGCAUGGUUCAAAAGUGAAAGACGGUCUUGCUGUCACUUAUAGAUGGAUCCGCGCUGCAUUAGCUAGUCGGUAAGGUAACGGCUUACCAAGGCAACGAUGCAUAGCCGACCUGAGAGGGUGAUCGGCCACACUGGAACUGAGACACGGUCCAGACUCCUACGGGAGGCAGCAGUAGGGAAUCUUCCGCAAUGGGCGAAAGCCUGACGGAGCAACGCCGCGUGAGUGAUGAAGGUCUUCGGAUCGUAAAACUCUGUUAUUAGGGAAGAACAUAUGUGUAAGUAACUGUGCACAUCUUGACGGUACCUAAUCAGAAAGCCACGGCUAACUACGUGCCAGCAGCCGCGGUAAUACGUAGGUGGCAAGCGUUAUCCGGAAUUAUUGGGCGUAAAGCGCGCGUAGGCGGUUUUUUAAGUCUGAUGUGAAAGCCCACGGCUCAACCGUGGAGGGUCAUUGGAAACUGGAAAACUUGAGUGCAGAAGAGGAAAGUGGAAUUCCAUGUGUAGCGGUGAAAUGCGCAGAGAUAUGGAGGAACACCAGUGGCGAAGGCGACUUUCUGGUCUGUAACUGACGCUGAUGUGCGAAAGCGUGGGGAUCAAACAGGAUUAGAUACCCUGGUAGUCCACGCCGUAAACGAUGAGUGCUAAGUGUUAGGGGGUUUCCGCCCCUUAGUGCUGCAGCUAACGCAUUAAGCACUCCGCCUGGGGAGUACGACCGCAAGGUUGAAACUCAAAGGAAUUGACGGGGACCCGCACAAGCGGUGGAGCAUGUGGUUUAAUUCGAAGCAACGCGAAGAACCUUACCAAAUCUUGACAUCCUUUGACAACUCUAGAGAUAGAGCCUUCCCCUUCGGGGGACAAAGUGACAGGUGGUGCAUGGUUGUCGUCAGCUCGUGUCGUGAGAUGUUGGGUUAAGUCCCGCAACGAGCGCAACCCUUAAGCUUAGUUGCCAUCAUUAAGUUGGGCACUCUAAGUUGACUGCCGGUGACAAACCGGAGGAAGGUGGGGAUGACGUCAAAUCAUCAUGCCCCUUAUGAUUUGGGCUACACACGUGCUACAAUGGACAAUACAAAGGGCAGCGAAACCGCGAGGUCAAGCAAAUCCCAUAAAGUUGUUCUCAGUUCGGAUUGUAGUCUGCAACUCGACUACAUGAAGCUGGAAUCGCUAGUAAUCGUAGAUCAGCAUGCUACGGUGAAUACGUUCCCGGGUCUUGUACACACCGCCCGUCACACCACGAGAGUUUGUAACACCCGAAGCCGGUGGAGUAACCUUUUAGGAGCUAGCCGUCGAAGGUGGGACAAAUGAUUGGGGUGAAGUCGUAACAAGGUAGCCGUAUCGGAAGGUGCGGCUGGAUCACCUCCUUUCU
rnacentral:rRNA from 1 species